rnacentral:rRNA from 1 species
UAAGCAAUUAAGGGCACACGGUGGAUGCCUAGGCAUGCAGAGGCGAUGAAGGACGUGUAAAGCUGCGAUAAGCUACGGGGAGUUGCAUAAGAACUGUGAUCCGUGGAUUUCCGAAUGGGGCAACCCACUCUAAUUUAUUAGGGUAUCCUUUCGAGGAGGCAUACCCGGGGAACUGAAACAUCUAAGUACCCGGAGGAAGAGAAAACAAUAGUGAUUCCCCAAGUAGUGGCGAGCGAACGGGGAACAGCCCAAACCAUACCCUACGGGGUGUGGGGUAGUAGGACCUGCGAAAAGAAAGUUAUCAUAAAUCGAAGCUGUCUGGAAAGCAGCGCCACAGAAGGUGAAAGCCCUGUAGGUGUAACGAUAAUUUUUGGGCGGGUAUCCUGAGUAGUGCGAGGCCGGUGAAACCUUGCAUGAAUCUGCCGGCACCAUCCGGUAAGGCUAAAUACAUCUGCAUGACCGAUAGUGAACCAGUACCGUGAGGGAAAGGCGAAAAGAACCCCUGUGAGGGGAGUGAAAUAGAACCUGAAACCGUAUACGUACAAGCAGUGGGAGCAGACUUGUUCUGUGACUGCGUACCUUUUGUAUAAUGGGUCAGCGACUUGGUCUUACGAGCAAGCUUAAACCGAUAGGUGUAUGCGCAGCGAAAGCGAGUCUUAAUAGGGCGACAUGU